rnacentral:rRNA from 1 species
UACGUAGGGGGCAAGCGUUGUCCGGAAUCAUUGGGCGUACAGCGCGUGUAGGCGGCCCGGUAAGUCCGUUCUGAAAGCCCGGGGCUCAACCCCGGGAGGCGGAUGGAUACUGCUUGGCUCGAGUCCGGAAGAGGCGAGUGGAAUUCCCGGUGUAGCGGUGAAAUGCGCAGAUAUCGGGAGGAACACCAAUGGCGAAGGCAGCUCGCUGGGACGGUACUGACGCUGAGACGCGAAAGCGUGGUGAGCAAACAGG